rnacentral:lncRNA from 1 species
GUUUGCCAUAUGCCAGCCCUGCUUGAGGUAUUUUACAUGUGUCAACAUAUUUACAAAUCACUGCUAUUAGUACAGUUUUACUUAUGAGGAGACUGAGGCAUGGAAAGAUUUGUCCAAGGUUAAACAGUUUGUAAGUGUUGGAAUCAGGAUUCGAACCCGGGAAGUUUGCAGUUGACCAUUAGGUUAUCCUGUUUCGUAAAUGACUGGUAAGUGUUUUUUUUGUCUAUAUGGUCUGCAGGCAAAAGUCAAUUCAAGAGACAGUUAUUGGGAUUCAGUCAUGUCUAGGACACUGGGCUAAAUGCUGUGGCUUAAUUUUUUUCCUAGGAAGAAAUAAAUCCAUCCCUUAUUUUAAAUUGCUUAGAGCUGAGUAGAGAGAUUAAAACGAGUUUACAAAGUAUAAACUACAACGCAGAAAGAAAUUCUCGGUAGAAGAAUACGCAGAACACUGUGGCAGUAAGGCAGAACCAAAUGCAAUGGUCUCGUAAAAUUCAGUGACUUUGUUCUGUCUUUCCUUAUAAGUUACAGAUCCUGUCUGUUGGGUUUUCCAAUGUCCAGUAUAAAGAAACAAGGACUUGAUUGUCAGUUGUCAUGCCACAGAGCUUGGCUUAAUUCAUCUGAAGAGCAUAACUCUUAAUCCCAAGGCUUGUGUUGACUCUAAGGUUUGUGAAACACGGUUUACUACUUGCAUGAAGUCAGAAGACAAGGCGAAUGUGGAAGAUGGUGAUAGCUCGUAAAUUGCACCUUAUUUGUUUACGUAAGGUAAAUGAUGUGUCUAGUUCUUUUCCUUAACAUUAUUAUUUCUCUUUCUCUCUGCCUUGCUCUGAGUCUUUGAUUUCCCAGAAUAUAAGGCUGUAAUGUACUUUCUGGUGUUUGAGAUACAGGCACAGUUUGUCUUUCCUCUGCAGGGCCUUGAUAUUUCUGACGCUCUCCAAACUUUAACACCAUGCAAAGCAUUGUGACAUAACGCAUGUCAAGCACUCAUCACGAUGUCCAUCAUAGAGGAAGGGCUCAAUUAUUAUUUGCUAUUAUUGCUGCUGUUUUUUUUUUUUUUUGCCCUUUCUCUCAGGCUCCAAACCUAAGAAGCCAUUUCUACCACACCCUCCUGAGUUGAAUCAAGUGACAAAGAUUUCUACACAUCUAGUGAAGGAGACAUAUGUCAACAUCCAGAAACUCUUUUCUAAGCGUAAGGAAGUGCGACAAAGAAAGAACGCUUUCCAAAUUCCUACUUUAUUUUACACUCACAAUGACCUUAUUAAAUGGCUAAAGCAGAUGAGGAUAGACUGGACAAUCCUGAGACCCAGAGAAGCUGACUUUUAUAUGAUCAGAAUUUGAGUCUGAGAUAAAGUAAAAUUUAAUUACUUCAAGCUAAUGCCAGAAAGGAUGAAGAUGGAUUCACCUCUUCAGAGAUGCUUAUGCUUUCUGCUUUAAAAUAAAAAUGCUAUUCCCGUGCUUUGCUCCUUAUGU